GACCCCUUGCGCUUCCCAAGUGAGGCAAUGCCUCGCCCUGCUUCGGCUCGCGCACGGUGCGCGCACCCACUGACCUGCGCCCACUGUCUGGCACUCCCUAGUGAGAUGAACCCGGUACCUCAGAUGGAAAUGCAGAAAUCACCCGUCUUCUGCGUUGCUGACGCUGGGAGCUGUAGACCGGAGCUGUUCCUAUUCGGCCAUCUUGGCUCCUCCCCUGCACUUUUCAAAUAAGAGACCUGGGGGAUUUUAGAACAGGGCUUUCAAGGUAAUGAAGGAAGAGAAUCUUCUUUGGACUUCUUUUUGCUCCAGAUGCGGAGAAGGCAACUUCCCGGAGUCUCUACCAGUGAGAAGGCUACAGAAUCAUGGGCAGAUAAGGUCUCGCUCUGUGGCUAUAGCUCACUGCAGCCUCAAAUUCCUGCGCUCAAGUAAUCCUCCCACCUCAGCUUCCCAAGUAGAUGGGACUACAGCUCCAAAUAACCCCGUGAUUUUGGAUGAUUGAUUAUGGGAAUGCUGCUUUCACUGUACAUCCAAGCUCUCCUGGCCUCAGCGGAUAAGUAUAUGAGAGCACAGU
ensembl:lncRNA LINC01376 long intergenic non-protein coding RNA 1376